rnacentral:rRNA from 1 species
AGUGAACGCUGGCGGUAGGCCUAACACAUGCAAGUCGAACGGCAGCACAGGAGAGCUUGCUCUCUGGGUGGCGAGUGGCGGACGGGUGAGGAAUACAUCGGAAUCUACUUUUUCGUGGGGGAUAACGUAGGGAAACUUACGCUAAUACCGCAUACGACCUACGGGGGAAAGCAGGGGAUCUUCGGACCUUGCGCGAUUGACUGAGCCGAUGUCGGAUUAGCUAGUUGGCGGGGUAAAGGCCCACCAAGGCGACGAUCCGUAGCUGGUCUGAGAGGAUGAUCAGCCACACUGGAACUGAGACACGGUCCAGACUCCUACGGGAGGCAGCAGUGGGGAAUAUUGGACAAUGGGCGCAAGCCUGAUCCAGCCAUACCGCGUGGGUGGAGAAGGCCUUCGGGUUGUAAAGCCCUUUUGUUGGGAAAGAAAUCCAGCUGGCUAAUACCCGGUUGGGAUGACGGUACCCAAAGAAUAAGCACCGGCUAACUUCGUGCCAGCCGCCGCGGUAA